GUGAAUGAGUUUCUUAUAAAUGUUUUUAUAAUUCAAGGAGGCUUGAUACUUUGCUUGAGAGAGUGCAUUUUUCAAAGACUUUUUUUCUAUCAAUACAAUAUUAGAAGAUGGAGAAGGGGAUUACAGAAUUUAAAUUAGGUGUCUUUUCUCCGACUAUAUCCUUGGAAAUGUGGAGCCUUUGGCCUUUGAUGAUUGAAGCAUUAGCUGAUUGGGCAAUUCACUUCCUUCCGAAUUAUGGCAGAUAAAAAUUUAGAGGACAAUGAUAUUGAACCAGCCCCAAAGCUGAUUGAAGUAGUGUUUCAAAACUGUAGAGGACAGGUGGAUCACUGGGUUGAGCCGUAUUUGAGAAUCACACUUGAUCGAUUGAAUCGAACGGAGAAACCACGGUUGAAAUGUCAUCUUGUACAAGGGGUAUGGUGUCUGUUGAGCAUUGGCCUGCAAUGCAACAUGUGACCAGCAGCUACUUCAAGCAGACCAGCAAUGUAGCAGAACCGAGAGCAGCAACAGCUUGGUGCAUUUUGUUUUCUCUUUUGUUCAAAUGUAAUUUGCCUAGUUAGUUUGUAACUUGAAACUAAAGCUUGUAGGAUUAGUUUUUUAUUUGUACUUGAUGUAAUGGCUGAUGUAUCAGCUAGCUUUGAUUUGAAUUUCAAUCUUGUAUUAGUUAAGUAUAGGUGGGAGCAGUUACAUUGUUAGGUAACUGUCAAAUUCACUUUGUAACUUACAUAUAAUUUGAUAUUAUCAAUGAAAAUGUAUGUUUUUCAGCUCAA